CAGCAGCCCGGGAAUACCAGCACCUCGAGUGGUCAGGAGGUUUAUUGGGCCUAAAGCAUCCGUAGCCGGUUGCAUAAGUUUUCGGUUAAAUCUAUGCGCUUAACGUAUAGGCCGCCGAAAAUACUGUGCAGCUAGGGAGUGGGAGAGGUACACGGUACUCGAUAGGAAGGGGUAAAAUCCUUUGAUCUAUCGAUGACCACCUGUGGCGAAGGCGGUGCACCAGAACACGUUCGACGGUGAGGGAUGAAAGCUGGGGGAGCAAACCGGAUUAGAUACCCCUGUAGUCCCUGUCUCUUAUACC
rnacentral:rRNA from 1 species